UAAAUAUUAAAUAAAUUUUGCUAUGUCUGAUUACGGUCCAGUUAAAUUUUAUAUUUUUAG
rnacentral:tRNA from 1 species